rnacentral:lncRNA from 1 species
UAUUGCUACUGAAAUGAAUCGAGAUCAAAAGAUGGACGUCUGAUCCUCGUGUAGGAAAGCUGGUGCUGAAGUGACCUGCAAAAUAAGUCCCAAAUCAAAGGUUGUGGCUCCAACGAGGACCCUCCGACAUUCAAGUUAGAAAGACAAAGAAUAAAGAAGUAGCAACGGAUUUUCUAAGAGAGAUUUGAUUGGACUUACCUAAGUCCUCGGAGCAUCGAUUGUUUAUAUAG